rnacentral:rRNA from 1 species
AUUGAACGCUGGCGGCAGGCCUAACACAUGCAAGUCGAACGGUAACAGGAAGAAGCUUGCUUCUUUGCUGCCGAGUGGCGGACGGGUGAGUGAUGUCUGGGAAACUGCCGGAUGGAGGGGGAUAACUACUGGAAACGGUAGCUAAUACCGCAUAACGUCGCAAGACCAAAGAGGGGGACCUCCGGGCCUCUUGCCAUCGGAUGUGCCCAGAUGGGAUUAGCUAGUAGGUGGGGUAACGGCUCACCUAGGCGACGAUCCGUAGCUGGUCUGAGAGGAUGACCAGCCACACUGGAACUGAGACACGGUCCAGACUCCUACGGGAGGCAGCAGUGGGGAAUAUUGGACAAUGGGCGCAAGCCUGAUGCAGCCAUGCCGCGUGUAUGAAGAAGGCCUUCGGGUUGUAAAGUACUUUCGGCGGGGAGGAAGGGAGUAAAGUUAAUACCUUUGCUCAUUGACGUUACCCGAAGAAGAAGCACCGGCUAACUCCGUG